GUGAAAUGUGCAUUAUUAGGUCACAAGAGGAUAACGUUACAGGGUUCCAUAGCAUAAUCCUUGAAAGCCCUGAGGCCCAGGCCGCUGUCCUGCUCUCCUCUCCACUGACUCCCAUCCUCGAUAUACUUUCCAUGAGAGAAAGAAUGUGAAGUUGAUGGCUGGAGUCGGAGCAGCCAUAUUGGAUGAUUUGAUUGAAAAUGGCCCAUGGAGUACAACCACCUGGGAACAUAUCCUCGAGAAAGACAGUUGAGGCUUAUUGCCUAAACCACAGGCUACUGAAAACUUGGCCAAAGGCGACUACUCUAAACUGGUGACUUCAAAAGUGCUGAUGAAUACAGUGAACCAUGAAAGAUGCAUUAUUUGUUUUGAACAUUUUACUAUGAUUGAUGACCCAGAUUUGGCAAGUUAGUUCACUCCCAGUGGAGAUGAAAGUUUCACUGCCUUCUUUCUUUCAACAUUCUUGUUGAGACAGAUUUCACUUUUAUUGGCCAAUGUACUAACAAAUCACUUGCAUUUGCAGCAUAAUGAAUUCAUUAGCAACACUGUGGAUCAAUGCUAUACAUAAUAUUCCUGAGUCAACAUUAACUCUUAAUUAA